rnacentral:rRNA from 1 species
AUUGAACGCUGGCGGCAGGCCUAACACAUGCAAGUCGAGCGGAUGAAGGGAGCUUGCUCCUGGAUUCAGCGGCGGACGGGUGAGUAAUGCCUAGGAAUCUGCCUGGUAGUGGGGGAUAACGUCCGGAAACGGGCGCUAAUACCGCAUACGUCCUGAGGGAGAAAGUGGGGGAUCUUCGGACCUCACGCUAUCAGAUGAGCCUAGGUCGGAUUAGCUAGUUGGUGGGGUAAAGGCCUACCAAGGCGACGAUCCGUAACUGGUCUGAGAGGAUGAUCAGUCACACUGGAACUGAGACACGGUCAAGACUCCUAAGGGAGGCAGCAGUGGGGAAUAUUGGACAAUGGGCGAAAGCAUGAUCCAGCCAUGCCGCGUGUGUGAAGAAGGUCUUCGGAUUGUAAAGCACUUUAAGUUGGGAGGAAGGGCAGUAAGUUAAUACCUUGCUGUUUUGACGUUACCAACAGAAUAAGCACCGGCUAACUUCGUG